rnacentral:rRNA from 1 species
UACGUAGGGGCAAGCGUUGUCCGGAAUUAUUGGGCGUAAAGAGCGUGUAGGCGGCCAGAUAAGUCCGCUGUGAAAUCUCGAGGCUCAACUUCGAGCUGUCGGUGGAAACUAUCUGGCUAGAGUCCGGAAGAGGAGAAUGGAAUUCCUGGUGUAGCGGUGAAAUGCGCAGAUAUCAGGAAGAACACCCGUGGCGAAGGCGGUCUCUGGGACGGUACUGACGCUGAGACGCGAAAGCGUGGGGAGCGAACAGG